rnacentral:rRNA from 1 species
GACGAACGCUGGCGGCGUGCUUAACACAUGCAGGUCGUACGGUAAGGCCCUUUCGGGGGUCCACGAGUGGCGAACGGGUGAGUAACACGUGAGUAACCUGCCCACAACUUUGGGAUAACGCUAGGAAACUGGUGCUAAUACUGGAUAUGUGCUCCUGCUGCAUGGUGGGGGUUGGAAAGCUCCGGCGGUUGUGGAUGGACUCGCGGCCUAUCAGCUUGUUGGUGGGGUAGUGGCCUACCAAGGCGGCGACGGGUAGCCGGCCUGAGAGGGUGACCGGCCACAUUGGGACUGAGAUACGGCCCAGACUCCUACGGGAGGCAGCAGUGGGGAAUAUUGCACAAUGGGCGCAAGCCUGAUGCAGCAACGCCGCGUGCGGGAUGACGGCCUUCGGGUUGUAAACCGCUUUCAGCAGGGACGAAGCUUUUUGUGACGGUACCUGCAGAAGAAGCACCGGCUAACUACGUG